AAGGUACUGUGGAUCCUAUA
rnacentral:piRNA from 1 species